GGGUUGUGAGGUUAAGCGACUAAGCGUACACGGUGGAUGCCCUGGCAGUCAGAGGCGAUGAAGGACGUGCUAAUCUGCGAUAAGCGUCGGUAAGGUGAUAUGAACCGUUAUAACCGGCGAUUUCCGAAUGGGGAAACCCAGUGUGAUUCGUCACACUAUCAUUAACUGAAUCCAUAGGUUAAUGAGGCGAACCGGGGGAACUGAAACAUCUAAGUACCCCGAGGAAAAGAAAUCAACCGAGAUUCCCCCAGUAGCGGCGAGCGAACGGGGAGCAGCCCAGAGCCUGAAUCAGUGUGUGUGUUAGUGGAAGCGUCUGGAAAGGCGCGCGAUACAGGGUGACAGCCCCGUACACAAAAAUGCACAUAUUGUGAGCUCGAUGAGUAGGGCGGGACACGUGGUAUCCUGUCUGAAUAUGGGGGGCCCAUCCUCCAAGGCUAAAUACUCCUGACUGACCGAUAGUGAACCAGUACCGUGAGGGAAAGGCGAAAAGAACCCCGGCGAGGGGAGUGAAAAAGAACCUGAAACCGUGUACGUACAAGCAGUGGGAGCACGCUUAGGCGUGUGACUGCGUACCUUUUGUAUAAUGGGUCAGCGACUUAUAUUCUGUAGCAAGGUUAACCGAAUAGGGGAGCCGAAGGGAAACCGAGUCUUAACUGGGCGUUAAGUUGCAGGGUAUAGACCCGAAACCCGGUGAUCUAGCCAUGGGCAGGUUGAAGGUUGGGUAACACUAACUGGAGGACCGAACCGACUAAUGUUGAAAAAUUAGCGGAUGACUUGUGGCUGGGGGUGAAAGGCCAAUCAAACCGGGAGAUAGCUGGUUCUCCCCGAAAGCUAUUUAGGUAGCGCCUCGUGAAUUCAUCUCCGGGGGUAGAGCACUGUUUCGGCAAGGGGGUCAUCCCGACUUACCAACCCGAUGCAAACUGCGAAUACCGGAGAAUGUUAUCACGGGAGACACACGGCGGGUGCUAACGUCCGUCGUGAAGAGGGAAACAACCCAGACCGCCAGCUAAGGUCCCAAAGUCAUGGUUAAGUGGGAAACGAUGUGGGAAGGCCCAGACAGCCAGGAUGUUGGCUUAGAAGCAGCCAUCAUUUAAAGAAAGCGUAAUAGCUCACUGGUCGAGUCGGCCUGCGCGGAAGAUGUAACGGGGCUAAACCAUGCACCGAAGCUGCGGCAGCGACGCUUAUGCGUUGUUGGGUAGGGGAGCGUUCUGUAAGCCUGCGAAGGUGUGCUGUGAGGCAUGCUGGAGGUAUCAGAAGUGCGAAUGCUGACAUAAGUAACGAUAAAGCGGGUGAAAAGCCCGCUCGCCGGAAGACCAAGGGUUCCUGUCCAACGUUAAUCGGGGCAGGGUGAGUCGACCCCUAAGGCGAGGCCGAAAGGCGUAGUCGAUGGGAAACAGGUUAAUAUUCCUGUACUUGGUAUUACUGCGAAGGGGGGACGGAGAAGGCUAUGUUGGCCGGGCGACGGUUGUCCCGGUUUAAGCGUGUAGGCUGGUUUUCCAGGCAAAUCCGGAAAAUCAAGGCUGAGGCGUGAUGACGAGGCACUACGGUGCUGAAGCAACAAAUGCCCUGCUUCCAGGAAAAGCCUCUAAGCAUCAGGUAACAUCAAAUCGUACCCCAAACCGACACAGGUGGUCAGGUAGAGAAUACCAAGGCGCUUGAGAGAACUCGGGUGAAGGAACUAGGCAAAAUGGUGCCGUAACUUCGGGAGAAGGCACGCUGAUAUGUAGGUGAAGUCCCUUGCGGAUGGAGCUGAAAUCAGUCGAAGAUACCAGCUGGCUGCAACUGUUUAUUAAAAACACAGCACUGUGCAAACACGAAAGUGGACGUAUACGGUGUGACGCCUGCCCGGUGCCGGAAGGUUAAUUGAUGGGGUCAGCGCAAGCGAAGCUCUUGAUCGAAGCCCCGGUAAACGGCGGCCGUAACUAUAACGGUCCUAAGGUAGCGAAAUUCCUUGUCGGGUAAGUUCCGACCUGCACGAAUGGCGUAAUGAUGGCCAGGCUGUCUCCACCCGAGACUCAGUGAAAUUGAACUCGCUGUGAAGAUGCAGUGUACCCGCGGCAAGACGGAAAGACCCCGUGAACCUUUACUAUAGCUUGACACUGAACAUUGAGCCUUGAUGUGUAGGAUAGGUGGGAGGCUUUGAAGUGUGGACGCCAGUCUGCAUGGAGCCGGCCUUGAAAUACCACCCUUUAAUGUUUGAUGUUCUAACGUGGACCCGUGAUCCGGGUUGCGGACAGUGUCUGGUGGGUAGUUUGACUGGGGCGGUCUCCUCCUAAAGAGUAACGGAGGAGCACGAAGGUUGGCUAAUCCUGGUCGGACAUCAGGAGGUUAGUGCAAUGGCAUAAGCCAGCUUGACUGCGAGCGUGACGGCGCGAGCAGGUGCGAAAGCAGGUCAUAGUGAUCCGGUGGUUCUGAAUGGAAGGGCCAUCGCUCAACGGAUAAAAGGUACUCCGGGGAUAACAGGCUGAUACCGCCCAAGAGUUCAUAUCGACGGCGGUGUUUGGCACCUCGAUGUCGGCUCAUCACAUCCUGGGGCUGAAGUAGGUCCCAAGGGUAUGGCUGUUCGCCAUUUAAAGUGGUACGCGAGCUGGGUUUAGAACGUCGUGAGACAGUUCGGUCCCUAUCUGCCGUGGGCGCUGGAGAACUGAGGGGGGCUGCUCCUAGUACGAGAGGACCGGAGUGGACGCAUCACUGGUGUUCGGGUUGUCAUGCCAAUGGCACUGCCCGGUAGCUAAAUGCGGAAGAGAUAAGUGCUGAAAGCAUCUAAGCACGAAACUUGCCCCGAGAUGAGUUCUCCCUGACCCUUUAAGGGUCCUGAAGGAACGUUGAAGACGACGACGUUGAUAGGCCGGGUGUGUAAGCGCAGCGAUGCGUUGAGCUAACCGGUACUAAUGAACCGUGAGGCUUAACCUUACAACGCCGAAG
rnacentral:rRNA from 1 species